rnacentral:lncRNA from 1 species
CUUAUGGAAGGCAUUAGCAGGACAUUUCUGGGGCAGAAUUUUCAGAGACCAAAAGAUCUAACCUUUGGAAAUCAUAUGAGUUUGCUACAAAGGAAAUAGAUUUUGUUCCACCAAAUGGGAAAUCAGAAAGCCAUCCCUAGAUAAACAUAGAGACCCUGGCAACCUUGGGCAAGUUCUUUUUUUUUUUUAAUAUUUAUUUUUCAGUUUUCGGUGAACACAACAUCUUUAUUUUUAUGUGGUGCUGAGGAUUGAACCCAGUGCCCUGCGCAUGCCAGGCGAACGUGCCAUCGCUUGAGCCAUAUCCCCAGCCCUUGGGCAAGUUGUUUACCCUCUUGAUCUGUUUGGUUAUUUGUUAAGUGAGGGCAUGAGAAUCAAUAAACAAAUAAAAUUGGAAUGUAGAGGCAGUUUCGUCCUCUCAGAAAGUUAAGAGAGUGACAUACACAUAUAUAGGCAGAGACCCUAAGCCAUCGACUGCUGUUUCUUGUGUAGUAUGUCCAAGACAUGAUUCAUGUUUGGCUUGUAUGUUGGAAACAUGCACCCAGCAGGCACCUUGGAUACACCACAUAAAACACUGAUAUGUGGGGGCUGGGGUUAUAGCUUAGUGGUAGAGCGCUUCCCUAGCAUGUGUGAGGCACUGGGUCCGAUCCUUAGCACCACAUAAUAAAUGAAUAAAUAAAUAGUAUUAUGCCCAUCUACAACUAAAAAAAAUAUUGAAAAAAACCCCACUGAUACGUGAUGGGGAUACAAACACAAAAGUCAUAGUGAGAGAACUGUUAUGAUAGCCAAUUUGAGGCUAUGUAGACAGUUAAGAAAUUAGUGGUAGGGGCUGGGGUUGUGGCUCAGCGGUAGAGCGCUCGCCUAGCAUGCACAGGGCCCUAGGUUGUAUCAUCGGCACCACAUAAAACUAAAUGUUUGGAAUAAAUGUAUUGUGUUCAACUAAAACUAAAAAAUAUAAAUUUUUUUUUUUAAAAAAGAAAGAAAUUAGUGGUAAAGCAGGGCACAGUGGGAGUGGGUGUGGUUUAGUGGUAGAGCCCUUGGCCUAGCACGCAGGAUGUCCUGGAUCCGAUCCCUCAGCAGCAACACACACAGAGAAGUGGCAGUUUGCUCAUAUCUAAAAUGUACAUGCCUUUUGACUAGAAAAAAUGAAAUGUAGAAUUAUGGUAUAGUCAUACAAAGGAAUAGAAUACAACUGUUAAUAAAGUUUAG